rnacentral:rRNA from 1 species
GCCGGUAGGUAAAUCCGCCGGCUGUAUGCCUGAGACCUGAUGGGCGCCCACAUGGUGGGUGAUCCGGUGAUCCUAUGCUGCCUAGAAAAGCAUCGGCGUGAGGUUCAAACUGCCCGUACCCUAAACCGACACAGGUGGUCAGGUAGAGAAUACUAAGGCGAUCGAGAGAAUCAUGGUUAAGGAACUCGGCAAAAUGCCCCCGUAACUUCGGGAGAAGGGGGGCCCCAACCUUGAGCACCACGUGCUGGUGUGAGGGGAUCGGGGCCGCAGAGACCAGGGGGAAGCGCCGGUAGGUAAAUCCGCCGGCUGUAUGCCUGAGACCUGAUGGGCGCCCACAUGGUGGGUGAUCCGGUGAUCCUAUGCUGCCUAGAAAAGCAUCGGCGU